UUAAGACAUCACUCAGGACCAAAUGGGGUUUGUCAGGGGUAAUUGGCGAGCGCCGGAGGCGGUUUUCGGGGCCGGCUGGAUGGAAAAUCUCAAAGCAGUUGUCUUGUGCUGAAAGAAAAUAUUGCAUUUGAUCUUUUUAUGAUUCCUGCAGACAUGAUGUAUGUCUGCAUUCCUCGGCCCAAGGAAUUCGUGGUGUUUGGGUUUCGUUGCCUUUAAGUGACAGGAAGUGACACUUCACCCUUUUUUUUGCAGUAUUGUCUGAGAAUUAACCACAACAUAAUGCAGGUACAGAAAAUUCAGAUGACGCAAAAGGGAGGGUGUGUUUGUCUUGGAAAGAGCUGAGCAUUAUGCCUCUGGGACUGCUGGAAAAGCUCACCCUGAUAAACCUUCUCCAUAAAAGAAACCUCCCAGGAGCUCUCAGGUGGGGAGCAGUGGGAUUUUUGAGACCCCUGCUGGUGGAUGGUCCCUUUUCUUUGGAGGUCAACUGUGCGUGGGCUUUGCUGCCCCAUCAGCUUUUCCUAGAAAAUCACGUGCUGCUCAUUGUGAUGAAGUAAGUUUUUCUAUGGAAAUCAUUACCUGAUCUCACCUUUUGGAGAUAAAAAAAGAUAAUUUUUUCCUGGAGAAAAGGAGGCUCA